GGGUAGCUCAGCUGGUAGAGCACGAGACUCUUAAUCUGGGGGAUGUGAGUUCGAGCCCCGUGUUGGGUGAACUA